CGUUUGGCGCCAUGAUUCCUUCAGCCGUGGAGAUGUCACAGAAUGGUCCUGAUGGCAGCGGGUCUCCCCAUCCAGCAUCCUGCCAGUAUUUUUAUGUCCUCAGGGUCACGAUCAUGCUGGCCGAUCUACGAAGCAUCCACCUCUCUUUCCACCCACCCCUACCUGUUUGCUGAAGCUCCAGCACACCAGCUCACCUGUGACUGAAACUCUGUCAAACCUGAAAGCAUGUGAGACUCAAGUCAACUGGAAGCAGAUUCCAUGCUUUGAUGAGACAAAAAUUGAACUUUUUAGCCACCAAACACUGCACAUCCUCACUAUGAAGUGCGGCGGUGGCGACAUCAUGAUGCGAGGGUACUUGUUGGCAGCGGACCCCAGAAGGUCCUUGUCCUGCACGUCCAUCCUCACUGCCGCUCUACAGUCCAGUGGGUUCUGAUUCUGCUGCAGUCCUUCUGUCCUCAUGUGACCCCAAAACAUGCCUCCUGGGUUGGAGCAGCCAUGACGUCCUAGUCCCCUGCAGUGACGUCACCUGCGCACACACACACACAC
ensembl:lncRNA